GGGCCUAUAGCUCAGUUUGGCAGAGCCACCGGCUCAUAACCGGUAGGUCCCUGGUUCGAUUCCAGGUGGGCCCAUCA
rnacentral:tRNA from 1 species